UGGGCACAGCAGCUGCGGACAGAAGACCCUGUUCAAGGAAGCUGUUAGUACCAAGCCUGAGGAACAGUGUAGGGUAUUUAAUAAAUCUCUCCCUAAUAAAUAAGUAACACUUUUUCCUUUGUAGACCCGAGAACUUCAUGAUGGAGCAGCAGAACAGCACAUAUGGAGACACUGGCUUCCUCUUCUUCCCUUGGUUAUAAAGCACUGCCCACUAACCUAGAGAGACCUAUGUUUUGGACACUUUCCUGGCAAGGAGGCCCAUGCAGGAUGUUGCCCCUUCCCACAACUUUCCUCCAAAGGCACAGUGGGACACCUGCCCUUUCGUCCUCCAUCAUCAUUACCAGCCUCCCCAACCUAGAGAGGAUCCUGAUUUUCCUGUCACCGCAGGACCCAACCACAGAGGUGCUUCAAAGCUCUUGCUUUGGUCUGAUGCUGCAUCCGACCCAGUUCCAGGGAGAGGCUCAGAGCUGAGUGGCCAGCUGUACCUACUGUGUUUAAAGCCCAGUGGAGGUAUGUCCUGAGGUUCCAGGGUCCCUGCCUCAGCAGGUGCUCAGAGUCCCAGAUGACAUGGGAAAAGACUCCCUGCAUGCCUGCCACCAGCCUG
rnacentral:lncRNA from 1 species